AAUUGGCCCAAUCCAUAGCCAGGUCACCACCACCACAGGAUCUUCAUAGAUGAUGAACCUGAAAAUGAUGCACCACUCAGCACUACAGAUUGUGGCUAUCAAGACCCUUUGUGUUUCUUGAUAUAAUAUGGAACUUGGCAUUUGUUUUGGUGUCUUUCUCUGUGCUUUUGACCACCCUUCAAGAACGACCCUCGACACACUUAAGGGUUUGGGUUUUUGGGUAUGCUUUGCUGAGUCUUCUGCAUGUGGGGAUUGUGUGGGCUGAGUAUCAAAGGAGUAGUCUUGAUGAUGUUGGUCGAGAGUUUAAUUUUUGUGGUGUCUUUUCGUUUUCUUCACUGUGUCGUAACAGGUAAAUUUAAUUUGAUUUUUGUUUAUUGGGGAUGUAGAAUUGAUAUUAAUAAUUUUAUUAUAUGUUUGAAUUGCUUAUUGAAUAAUUAUAAUUUUGGAUUAUUUGGUUGAUAUUUCUAUCAAAGAUUGAAGAUAAAAACUGAUAUCACGGAAGACCCUUUAAAUGAAGGCUAGUUAACUUGUUUAUCAUUGCAAGAAAUGGGUUUAAGGUUCCUGAAUGUUGCUUUUCAUGGAUCUGGUAUGCUUUUCUCUUCCUUAUUUUGAAGUGUUAUCUUGUGUAACGAAGCUCGGUUGAGUAUGAAUGAAUCCAGCUUCAAUGGUUUUCUGAACAUAUUGCUGCUUGAUAUAUUUAAACAGGAUUGAUUUUGUUAUUCUUGACUCGAUUGUGUGGAAAGUGAUAAGGAUGCUCAAUGUCAAUACUUAUCUCCUGUGUAUUUGGAUUCCCAAAGAACUUGGAAUUGUGGUUCAGCUAGUGAGUUAGUUUAUGCAGAUGAGAGAAUUAAAGACGUCCAUGUGCAUUAUCGCUUUUCCACGUGCAUUUUCAAGAAAUUGGAAUCCAUUAAUACUGUGAUUUCAUCAAUUUGGUGAGUGUUUGGAUUUUAUUGGAUUGUGAUGGUGGCCAAGCGCUUCUACAAGACUCUCCCUGCCUAUACAGUUUCCUAUGCUAUGAUUAUUGGAGAAGGAGCAUCUGAAAAUGAUAUUAAGGUUCUUCCCAAGUAUAGAUAUCGCCUGCCCAAUACUUUGGGAAAUGAUAAGAAGCAAGAGGAGGAUUGCUGCGUAUACCUUUAUAAGUACAUGGAUGGGGCUGAGUUGUGCACCCUUUCCUGCAACCACCAUUUCCACCAUAAAUGUACUAGCAAGUGGCUGCAGAUUAGUGCAACCUGCCCUCUCUGCAAACUUAAAAUUCUCAAGGGUAAAACGUUGGUCUGAACAUAGUUGAAUAAUUUCGCAGAGGGAGAUAUAGAGACAUAUCGAGCUAGUUUUCUUGGAUUCCGCCUGCUAAAUGUAUAGUAGGAAUGCAAUUUCUAUGCACAGUUGCAUCUAGCAAUCUUCUUGAAUCAAUUUUCGCUUUAUUACAUGUAAGCUACACCCGUCUUCCGUCGUCCCACACCUUGGGACAGUCCACUGAGAAAUGUGGCGGGUUGAGCCUCUCUGCAGCAUGCCAGAUGCGAUCGAGAUGGACACCACUACUUGCAGCUGCUUUCAUUUGUGAUUUCAACGCUGUAGAUCUUGUAUGCGACGGUGGAGCCAUAACCAUCCGAGGGAAUUCCC